UUCAGGGCUGUUGCUCCUGACAGAUAAGUCAGUCUACCUGUUGUUGAAUGACAUGCAGAAAAGAAAUUUGGUAAGAAGAAAGUGAUUUGACUUUGAAGAAAGAUGACACCACCCUUGAUGAGGGUAAAUGGGAAGUUGGUAGCUCUGAAGGUGAUCAGGCUGCAGGAAGAAGAAG
rnacentral:sRNA from 1 species